UCAUUAGUAUCGCUUGUAAGCUCGGCGUGUGGACCUCAAUGUUAAAUUUUUGAAAGCAACUUUUCCGUCGACUACAGCUUCCUUGUCUUCAGGCCGCGAUUCACCAGUAACCUUGUCAGCAACACGUUUGGAGUCUCCAGCAUGAGAGAAAGGACGUAUGAACAGAAAUACGUGGAAGCGAAAACUCCCAGAAACGUCAUAGCCUGUUAAAAAAUAUUUCCUAAAGUCAUUUACCGUCUUCAAGAAAUAAUUAAAUUUUAAUACAGUGUGGAUACUUACGUUUGGUAAAAAGUCUACAUGUACAGAUGAUUCACUAUGAAGAGUCCGCAUAUGGUGUAAGUGCAAGUGCCAGUGAAAAAAAGUUUAAAACUGCCAGUAGUGACGAUAUUCCUACAAAUCCUUUGCACGGAUACAGAAUUCUGGAAUUCUUCACAGUUUUUGCUGCACUAUCCGCCGAAGGUUUAUUAUAUGGACCCGGAAUCGCC